AAUAUUGUUUGGGGAGGAAUAGC
rnacentral:piRNA from 1 species